CAUCAUGAUGCAAAUUUUGCUGUGCGAUUUAACUGGACUACUUUCUCAUAAUGCUUAAAUUAGAAUUGCUGCGUAGAAGAUCUGUUACUUUGAUGUUGAAAAGUAAAUUGUAGGUGAAGAAAAUCUGGUUGCAGAGAUGAAGAAUUGUGAAUUUCUCAUACAAUUUCCUGAUUAUUAUACUUCAGUUUGUAAGGGUUUGGUCUUAUAGUGCUAACGAGGGUUCUUGAUUCCAAGUAUACGCAUUCAGAGAGAAACCAGAUACAGGAGUUUUGUGUAAGGUUUGACAUUCCAUUUUCAUUUUUUGGGUUUCUUCUGAUAGUAAAAAGCUUAGUCUUCUUUAUUGGCAUUCGAGUGAAGUGUAAAAUCAGAUUGCGGGAUAUAUACUCAGGAAGAUUGGUCCGGGUUACGGUAUUGUUCCGGGUUCCUAUAUUGCCCAUCUCCAGUGUGGCACAAAAGCAGUAGUACAUUAAACCCUAGUCUCUUAUUAUUUUUUUCAUUAUCUAAAAUUUUAUUUGAACUGUUGUAAUGCCUGGCAAAAUUGCUGCUUCUUGCCUCCAUCUUAUAAUAUCUGAAUUUGUUUUUCUUUUAA